rnacentral:snRNA from 1 species
AAAUGGCGCGAAUUGGUGUUGACUUUUGCGUGUCAGUCUUGUGCAGGGGCCAUGCUAAUCUUCUCUGUUUUGUCCAAGUUUUAGUAUAUGAUCAGGAAUGAAC